GGAUCUGAGGGCGAUCUGUCUUCAACAUCUGUCACCCCAUUGAUCGCCAGGGUUGAUUCGGCUCAUCUGGCUCCCUAGGCAGGUGUCCCUUUCCUCCCUCACAGCUCCACAUGUGUCCCUCCUGAGGCUGCGCGCUCCGUCCCUGAAUAGAGAGGGACCGGUCUUCAGUCAAAGGUAUACGAGUAGCUGUGCUCCCCUGCUAGAACCUCCAAACAAGCUCUCUCAAGCUUAUGGGGUAGUUACCAUUAUUAUUUCUAAUUUAAAAAUCAGAAAACUAAGGCAUAGGGAAAUUAGAUCAUUU
rnacentral:snRNA from 1 species